UACGAAGGGGGCUAGCGUUGCUCGGAAUCACUGGGCGUAAAGCGCACGUAGGCGGAUUGCUAAGUCAGGGGUGAAAUCCUGGAGCUCAACUCCAGAACUGCCUUUGAUACUGGCGAUCUUGAGUCCGGGAGAGGUGAGUGGAACUGCGAGUGUAGAGGUGAAAUUCGUAGAUAUUCGCAAGAACACCAGUGGCGAAGGCGGCUCACUGGCCCGGUACUGACGCUGAGGCGCGAAAGCCAGGGGAGCAAACAGG
rnacentral:rRNA from 1 species